rnacentral:rRNA from 1 species
UACGAAGGGGGCUAGCGUUGCUCGGAAUUACUGGGCGUAAAGCGCACGUAGGCGGAUUGUUAAGUCGGGGGUGAAAUCCUGGAGCUCAACUCCAGAACUGCCUUCGAUACUGGCGAUCUCGAGUCCGGGAGAGGUGAGUGGAACUGCGAGUGUAGAGGUGAAAUUCGUAGAUAUUCGCAAGAACACCAGUGGCGAAGGCGGCUCACUGGCCCGGUACUGACGCUGAGGUGCGAAAGCGUGGGGAGCAAACAGGA